GAGUUAGAAGUUGAGUCCGAUGGAGAUGACUCGCAGGAGUAAGCUGGUCUGCCGCCGAAGCGCUGCCUAUGGACUGGAGCCGUAUCCGCUGGAGCUAGUUUACCUAUCUUUCUGCUGCAUUUUCGUUAGAAUAAGUGUUACUUUCAGUUGUUUCUAAAUACGAUGGUUAUGUAAUCAACAUUGUCUUUUUUUUACCCUGCCGGUCUUGGACAGAGAUUUUAAUACACAAUUAAGUUCAAAAAUUCAUGUGAGGAAUUUUUGGGCGUGACAGUAAGUUAACUUACCGGCGCUCAAACGAACACCGCC
rnacentral:lncRNA from 1 species